UGUGCAAUCCAUAGGUAAAGGCCGUUCUGU
rnacentral:piRNA from 1 species